rnacentral:lncRNA from 7 species
AAAAGCUUUACAAAGUCUUUGGGUGUAGGUGGUGGUGGUGUGUAACAAAUUCUUCUGGCUGCUUGGCCAGUGAGGCUGAGGUCUGAGCAGGUACUUGCCAUAACCAAGGCCUGGGUUGUGCAGGAGGAGCAGUUAGUGCAAGGCUGGAGGUCGUCCAGGUGGGCUGGAGAGCUGGAAAAGCAGCCUGUACCUGCGUGGAGCUGCUAUAAGAUAAAACACCAAGGCGUGGAGCAGCCGGUGACAUGGGCCAAGUGAAAAUGGGCUUGGGGAUGCUCAGCAUAAGCUCUAGGGAAAGACAGACCAGUGCAGAAGGCCCACUGGAAAUUCAGCCCUCGGUCACCAAUUCUACAAUUAAUGGCCAUGCAACAGCAAGCGUGCUGUGAGCUCUAAGCCUGACAGUGGAGAGUCUCCAGGGGGGACAAUGAUGGCAUUUCACGUGAUGCUGACUCCUGUUGCCCAGAGAAAAGGAAACCAUCGCAUAUGUCCUAUUAUGGGUUACGGAAAGGAUUUGACCUGCAUCUUGACUGAGCACAGGUUUACUAAGCCACGAUCUGGCACUUGAGGAUGAAAACAUGAGCAGCGCUGAUAGCCAGCUUCUGCCGUGACCUGAAGUACUGACAGUGUUCCCGCUAUAUCCAGAUGCACUUCCACUAACAGAUCUGGAAGCGACAGUCCUGCUUCGUUCUACCCUAUCCAGGAGCACGCUCCUUAACAGCCACGCUACAGCCACUGCUCAGCUGACGGCUAACAGCCUCCGACUGCUCUCUGCAGUACUGCUUCCAGCUCAGGCGCAGAUCUCUUCAUGGAAACGGAGCUCGUUGCUGUCACUGUGCGACAGGCAGCAGCGCGGCGGUGACUGAUGUUUGCUAAACGCUGCACAAUGCACCUGAAAGCAACGCAUCGGGCACAGCCUCCUCUGAGUCACGUCGGGAUCCCGCCAUCGUGCUGCCAGCUGAAGCGCUUCCAAAGAAGUUUUUCUAAACGAAGCAAGUUAGGACAUGCCACGCUGAGUAAGUUUAAGUUACCCGUUAAGAAUACAGUUUGAGACCAGUACUACCCAAGCCAUCGUAUUAAGGAUCAGUGAGCCGCGGUCCUCUGCUCUACCGUUGCACUAUAUAAACCUGUCGCCCAUCAUGAACUUAAGUCUCCUUAAAAAUAGCAUCAGUCAUUUUUAUUGGUAAAAACACCUAAAUUGAGAUCUAACAGCAAGUAAGGAUUGUGCUUGUCCAUAAUAACCUCGGCUGUGAAAUCUACUCAGACACAAGACAUACAACCUUCCAGAUACACAAGCUAUUUGUCAGCAAAGCAGAAUGCUGCCAUUCUGAGACAAUUACAUACAGUAAAGGUUUUCAAGAUUUUAUUAAAGAAAACAGUCAAAAUGUACAAGUAUUACCCAGGUUUGUAGAUAACUUCCUAUAAAGGCAGUAAAAUAUGAAUUUCAAUCUAGGUUUUUAAAAACUGCUAUAGUUGAUUAGUUUUAAAGUUGGUAUUUUAAAAUCACGUUUCACAAAUAGUUC